GCCAGACUCCUACGGGAGGCAGCAGUGAGGAAUAUUGGUCAAUGGGCGGGAGCCUGAACCAGCCAAGUCGCGUGAGGGAAGAAGGUACUGAGUAUUGUAAACCUCCUUUGCCAGGGGACAAAGGCGGCCACGGGUGGCCGUAAGAGGGUACCUGGAGAAAAAGCAUCGGCUAACUCCGUGCCAGCAGCCGCGGUAAUACGGAGGAUGCGAGCGUUAUCCGGAUUUAUUGGGUUUAAAGGGUGCGUAGGCGGUUCGUUAUGUCAGUGGUCAAAUGGGGGGCCCCACCCCCUCCCCGCCAUUGAAACUGGCGCUCUUGAGUGGAAGAGAAGUAUGCGGAAUGCGUGGUGUAGCGGUGAAAUGCAUAGAUAUCACGCAGAACCCCGAUUGCGAAGGCAGCAUGCCGGCUUCCGACUGACGCUGAAGCACGAAAGCGUGGGGAUCGAACAGGAUUAGAUACCCUAGUA
rnacentral:rRNA from 1 species